rnacentral:rRNA from 2 species
UGCUGCAUCAUGAUUUACAUUUGAGUGAGUGGCGAACUGGUGAGUAACACGUGGGAAACCUGCCCAGAAGCGGGGGAUAACACCUGGAAACAGAUGCUAAUACCGCAUAACAACUUGGACCGCAUGGUCCGAGUUUGAAAGAUGGCUUCGGCUAUCACUUUUGGAUGGUCCCGCGGCGUAUAGCUAGAUGGUGGGGUAACGGCUCACCAUGGCAAUGAUACGUAGCCGACCUGAGAGGGUAAUCGGCCACAUUGGGACUGAGACACGGCCCAAACUCCUACGGGAGGCAGCAGUAGGGAAUCUUCCACAAUGGACGAAAGUCUGAUGGAGCAACGCCGCGUGAGUGAAGAAGGGUUUCGGCUCGUAAAACUCUGUUGUUAAAGAAGAACAUAUCUGAGAGUAACUGUUCAGGUAUUGACGGUAUUUAACCAGAAAGCCACGGCUAACUACGUGCCAGCAGCCGCGGUAAUACGUAGGUGGCAAGCGUUGUCCGGAUUUAUUGGGCGUAAAGCGAGCGCAGGCGGUUUUUUAAGUCUGAUGUGAAAGCCUUCGGCUCAACCGAAGAAGUGCAUCGGAAACUGGGAAACUUGAGUGCAGAAGAGGACAGUGGAACUCCAUGUGUAGCGGUGAAAUGCGUAGAUAUAUGGAAGAACACCAGUGGCGAAGGCGGCUGUCUGGUCUGUAACUGACGCUGAGGCUCGAAAGUAUGGGUAGCAAACAGGAUUAGAUACCCUGGUAGUCCAUACCGUAAACGAUGAAUGCUAAGUGUUGGAGGGUUUCCGCCCUUCAGUGCUGCAGCUAACGCAUUAAGCAUUCCGCCUGGGGAGUACGGCCGCAAGGCUGAAACUCAAAGGAAUUGACGGGGGCCCGCACAAGCGGUGGAGCAUGUGGUUUAAUUCGAAGCUACGCGAAGAACCUUACCAGGUCUUGACAUACUAUGCAAAUCUAAGAGAUUAGACGUUCCCUUCGGGGACAUGGAUACAGGUGGUGCAUGGUGUCGUCAGC